rnacentral:rRNA from 1 species
GUGGGGAAUUUUGGACAAUGGGCGCAAGCCUGAUCCAGCCAUGCCGCGUGAGUGAAGAAGGCCUUCGGGUUGUAAAGCUCUUUCGGCCGGAACGAAAUCGUCCGGGCUAAUACCCCGGAUGGAUGACGGUACCGGAAGAAGAAGCACCGGCUAACUACGUGCCAGCAGCCGCGGUAAUACGUAGGGUGCAGGCGUUAAUCGGAAUUACUGGGCGUAAAGCGUGCGCAGGCGGCUUCCUAAGUCAGAUGUGAAAUCCCCGGGCUUAACCUGGGAACUGCGUUUGAAACUGGGAGGCUAGAGUGCGGCAGAGGGGGGUGGAAUUCCACGUGUAGCAGUGAAAUGCGUAGAUAUGUGGAGGAACACCGAUGGCGAAGGCAGCCCCCUGGGCCAGCACUGACGCUCAUGCACGAAAGCGUGGGGAGCAAACAGGAUUAGAUACCCCAGUAGUCC